AUUGAACGCUGGCGGCAGGCCUAAUACAUGCAAGUCGAACGCGGGGCGCACGGGUGAGAAAUGUGUGGGAAACUGCCUGAUGGAGGGGGAUAAAUACUGGAAACGGUAGCUAAUACCGCAUAACAGUAGAUGAGCCCAGAUGGGAUUAGCUUGUUGGUGGGGUAACGGCUCACCAAGGCGACGAUCCCUAGCUGGUCUGAGAGGAUGACCGGCCACACUUGAACUGAGACACGGUCCAGACUCCUACGGGAGGCAGCAGUGGGGAAUAUUGCACAAUGGGCGCAAGCCUGAUGCAGCCAUGCCGCGUGUAUGAAGAAGGCCUUCGGUUUGUAAAGUUCUUUCAGCGGUGACGCGUUACCCAAAGAGGAAGCACCGGCUAACUCCGUGCCAGCAGCCGCGGUAAUAC
rnacentral:rRNA from 1 species